CUUUUAAAUUGGGAUCGAAAUUCCAAGUAGCACUGCGUUAGAUUCAUAACGGCGAUGACGCAAACCAUGGAAAUGACUAUUCCCAACCAGACCUGAAAUUUGAUUAUUGUAAGGUCUGUAAUAACGACUGGAAUUCUGCUGCCUUCUCCCGUCUUGUUUUAACGUUACCGGCCAUUGGAAAGGUUUGACGACGGAGUCGAUGUUGACCGUUUCAUCUGGGGCGGGAAUGAGGAAAGCGAAAUCCCCAUAAUUCCAAGAUAGCUGAAAAGUCCUCGACCAUUUGCCCUUGGCUCCAACCAAUUUUCCGUCACUCGGACCAUCUCGUACCUUGAAGAUGCAAUACAAAAUCAUAAGUUGAAGCGGGCUGACAGAUAAUCUAGAACUACGCCUCCUUUGAGCGGCCCGGACAAGCCUUUAGGGUUACCACUCCAUCGAGGCUUAAACGAGGAUGACGCGGAGGUGUUGCCCAUUGAGGGGUGUUGGUGACAAGGAGUCGCUGAACGAAACGCUAAACCAAAUGAAAAAAAAUAUUAAAAAAGCCAACGAUCCUUUAUAUAUCCGAGCCACAACCAGGCAGAGUCCUUUCCGUCUACAUUCGGUGUGAAGAGCAAAACGCGAAUUUCAACACAUUUUACUGCUUAGCAACGUAAACAAAGCGAGUGUCAAAACAUCGUUUUACUUGCGCAUACUUAAUUGUAGCAGAAACGCGUUGGUCAUGUAACAGGAUCUAUUUUUCCCCUUUUGUUCAUGCAGCAUCAAACGACACGCGAUAGGUUCCGGCGGUCAUCAACUA